GUGGUUUAUUUUUUUUAGUUCUGUGAUAAGUCAAUAUUUCAUGCAGGUUCAUGAAAUAAUGGUUUUAUGCAUAUCAGCCAAGAUUGUGCGUGGAAUUUUAAUAAACAAUUCAACACCACACGUUAUGUGAAUUUGAUUAAAAUCGAUGAACAUGAAUUUGACAGCUAGUGACCCUUUUACAGGUAAAAUUCAAUUAACAAAUUCUGACCUACUGGCAUUCAACACCAAAAUUACCUACUUGCUGUAUAUUGAUAAAUGUGAUUGUAUGUCAAUACCUCAACAUCGUGAAUACGCCAUGUGAGGUGUUGGUUAUGUGUGCUACGGGGUCACUGGUGGCGCCUUCAAAACAGAAAAAAAAUCCAAGUAAAAAAGUGUGGAAUUUUGUUGCUGAAAAUUUAAGUUGUAAAUUCCUGAAAAAUGUACUUAAUUCCGUUCAACUGCUAACAUGUAAGUUCGAUACGAAAAUAGGAUAAAAAGCAUUCGAAAAAUUUGUGAUCAGUAAUUAUUUUUCGAAUAAAUGAAGAGCAAUGGGUUAAAAAAAACUGAAGAAGAAAAGUAAAAAGUAAAAGAAAGUCGUUGAAUUAAUUAUUUUACAAUUGUUUAAAUAUAUGAGAGAAUGUUUUAGGCAAAUUGUCUUUAUUUACAGAUAAAUGUAUUUAAGUUCAGGAAAUGAUUUAUUCUUCUGGCGGCUUCAAAUAUUUUUUUUUAUCAAUAACUUAUACACAAGGAGACAUUUUUUGACUUUUGACAGCAUGAACCGCAGUUAAUUAGCAAACACAAAUUAAGACACAAAAUCGUUUACAAAUAAAUUUUAUAGAAGGAAAAAA
rnacentral:lncRNA from 1 species